rnacentral:rRNA from 1 species
CGGAGGGUGCAAGCGUUAUCCGGAUUCACUGGGUUUAAAGGGAGCGUAGGUGGGUUGGUAAGUCAGUGGUGAAAUCUCUGAGCUUAACUCGGAAACUGCCAUUGAUACUAUCAAUCUUGAAUACCGUGGAGGUCAGCGGAAUAUGUCAUGUAGCGGUGAAAUGCUUAGAUAUGACAUAGAACACCAAUUGCGAAGGCAGCUGGCUACACGAAUAUUGACACUGAGGCUCGAAAGCGUGGGGAUCAAACAGGAUUAGAUACCCUGGUAGUCCACGCCCUAAACUAUGGAUACUCGACAUACGCGAUACACUGUGUGUGUCUGAGCGAAAGCAUUAAGUAUCCCACCUGGGAAGUACGACCGCAAGGUUG